rnacentral:rRNA from 1 species
AACGAACGCUGGCGGCAGGCUUAACACAUGCAAGUCGAGCGCUCGCAGCAAUGCGGGAGCGGCAGACGGGUGAGUAACGCGUGGGAACAUACCCUCCGGUUCGGAAUAACGCAGGGAAACCUGUGCUAAUACCGGAUACGGUCGAGAGGCGAAAGAUUUAUCGCCGGAGGAUUGGCCCGCGUUCGAUUAGCUAGUUGGUGGGGUAAUGGCCCACCAAGGCGACGAUCGAUAGCUGGUCUGAGAGGAUGAUCAGCCACAUUGGGACUGAGACACGGCCCAAACUCCUACGGGAGGCAGCAGUGGGGAAUAUUGGACAAUGGGCGCAAGCCUGAUCCAGCCAUGCCGCGUGAGUG